AUUAUUCACACAAAUUCUGGGGCAGUCUUCUGGCUUUUAAAUACUUCCUCGAGUGACUUGGUGAAAAAUGAGGAGCCAAGCAGGGUGCUGUUAGAAGCAAUGAGCCUUGUGAAAGCACUCAGAUGCCAUCCUGAUAACAGCCCGAGAAAAGCUCACAAGAAAAUCAGCAAUUGUGUCUCCCAAGCAGAUAUAAGUCAUGCACGUGCAAAAGGAUACCUGUACCUAAAAAGAAACAAAAUCUGAAUUCCAAAAUGGAUGUUGUUCAAUGAAAUGUGCAGGAUCUUAAAUCUUGGCUCUGCUGAAGAGAUGCUUCUUGGUGCCUGGAUUCUGGAGUAUCUUCUCAGUGGAAAGGAACAUGGAGUUCCCAAUUCCCUCACAUGGUUUCUGAUGCAAGUAAAGGAGUUUGCAGAUCUGAAGAUCUUUUUGAGGUGUGAUGUUCCUGUGGUGCUGUUCUCGCUCUGGGCAGUGAUGCACAGCAGGGACUUAUCCAGAUGGUCUGAGGAGGAGCCACCUCACCAGUGUAAGACUGUAAGAGCUUCUUCACCCUGUUUUGGUCCAAGUUCCUGAGCUGGUAUCUCUGCACAACGUGUUGCUCAUCAAACACCCCAGCUGUCCUCAGUAACGUUGCUGCUGUCAGCCAGCCAGUAACCUCUGCUCUGGCCAUCAAACAUCACCACUAAAAGUUCAAGACAGAUCUCCCCUCUAGUGUCACACAGAUCUGGCCCUUCCUUUCCUGGAGCCUGUCACACAGUGAUGGGACCCGACUGCCUCCUGGGCACCACACGGUUCCCUGCAUUUCAGAAUCUCAGCUGGAUCCUGGAUAGCUGGACACAACUGCUUCCCUGCCCUGAAACUGGAGCAAGAAGAGCCAGGACACCACCCCCAUGCCCUGCUUGUCCUGGCAGAGGGAGAGGAUGCUGUUUGCCUGAACGUUCCCUUCAGUGUGCAGCAGGUCUAAAGAUGUGACAACCACUUUGGUAUGUCCUCUGCCAUUCUGUGUGACACAGACCACUUGGGAAUUUGCAACCCUGACGAAUUGCCCCUUACAAGAUUCCUGCAGGAAGCACACAGAAGAACAAAACUUUGGAUUAUGCCUGUGAUGGGAAAAGCUGCAGCGAUGACUGACUGGAAAGGCUGAUCCUUCUCACACCAAAUACCACUGCCUUGCCACCAGAUGGAGGCAACACGUUCAGCUGCAAAACCAAAAGCAGGACCCAGCAGGUCCCGACCUGCGGCGACAGGGGCGGCUCUGCC